AUUGAACGCUGGCGGCAGGCUUAACACAUGCAAGUCGAGCGAGCGGCGGAGGGGUGAGGAAUGUCUGGGAAACUGCCUGAUGGAGGGGGAUAACUACUGGAAACGGUAGCUAAUAACGCAUACCAUCGGAUGUGUACUGAUGGGAUUAGCUAGCGGGUGGGGUAAAGUCUGACAUAGGCGACGAUCCCUAGCUGGUCUGAGAGGAUGACGAGCCCCACUGGAACGGAUACACGGCCCAGACUCCUACGGGAGGCAGCAGUGGGGAAUAUGGCACAAUGGGCGCAAGCCUGAUGCAGCCAUGCCGCGUGUGUGACGAAGGCAUGCGGGUUGUAAAGCACUUUUAUCGAGGAGGCGGUACCCGCAGAAGAAGCACCGGCUAACUCCGUGCCAGUAGCCGCGGUAAUUC
rnacentral:rRNA from 1 species